rfam:Pedobacter cryoconitis strain PAMC 27485, complete genome.
UGUCCUUUAAUGGACGGUCAAAGUAGAAGACUCAUAAUCUUUUGGUCGAUGGUUCGAGCCCAUCAUGGCCCA